rnacentral:rRNA from 1 species
AGAGUUUGAUCCUGGCUCAGGAUGAACGCUGGCGGCGUGCCUAAUACAUGCAAGUAGAACGCUGAAGCUUGGUGCUUGCACCGAGCGGAUGAGUUGCGAACGGGUGAGUAACGCGUAGGUAACCUGCCUGGUAGCGGGGGAUAACUAUUGGAAACGAUAGCUAAUACCGCAUAACAGUAGAUGUUGCAUGACAUCUAUUUGAAAGGGGCAAUUGCUCCACUACCAGAUGGACCUGCGUUGUAUUAGCUAGUUGGUGAGGUAACGGCUCACCAAGGCGACGAUACAUAGCCGACCUGAGAGGGUGAUCGGCCACACUGGGACUGAGACACGGCCCAGACUCCUACGGGAGGCAGCAGUAGGGAAUCUUCGGCAAUGGGGGCAACCCUGACCGAGCAACGCCGCGUGAGUGAAGAAGGUUUUCGGAUCGUAAAGCUCUGUUGUAAGUCAAGAACGAGUGUGAGAGUGGAAAGUUCACACUGUGACGGUAGCUUACCAGAAAGGGACGGCUAACUACGUGCCAGCAGCCGCGGUAAUACGUAGGUCCCGAGCGUUGUCCGGAUUUAUUGGGCGUAAAGCGAGCGCAGGCGGUUUGAUAAGUCUGAAGUUAAAGGCUGUGGCUCAACCAUAGUUCGCUUUGGAAACUGUCAAACUUGAGUGCAGAAGGGGAGAGUGGAAUUCCAUGUGUAGCGGUGAAAUGCGUAGAUAUAUGGAGGAACACCGGUGGCGAAAGCGGCUCUCUGGUCUGUAACUGACGCUGAGGCUCGAAAGCGUGGGGAGCGAACAGGAUUAGAUACCCUGGUAGUCCACGCCGUAAACGAUGAGUGCUAGGUGUUGGAUCCUUUCCGGGAUUCAGUGCCGCAGCUAACGCAUUAAGCACUCCGCCUGGGGAGUACGACCGCAAGGUUGAAACUCAA